rnacentral:rRNA from 1 species
UACGGAGGAUGCAAGCGUUAUCCGGAAUUAUUGGGCGUAAAGCGUCUGUAGGUGGACAUUCAAGUCUGCUGUCAAAUCCCGGGGCUUAACCCUGGAAAGGCGGUGGAAACUGAAGGUCUAGAGUGCGGUAGGGGUAGAGGGAAUUCCCAGUGUAGCGGUGAAAUGCGUAGAGAUUGGGAAGAACACCGGUGGCGAAAGCGCUCUGCUGGGCCUGCACUGACACUAAGGGACGAAAGCUAGGGGAGCGAAUGGGAUUAGAUACCCCAGUAGUCCUAGCCGUAAACGAUGGAUACUAGGCGUAGCUGGUAUCGACCCCAGCUGUGCCGUAGCUAACGCGUUAAGUAUCCCGCCUGGGGAGU